rnacentral:lncRNA from 1 species
AUAAAAAGCACCUACUUAUAAAUGAUUAUACUAUGUCCGACUUUGUUCGAAGUAUUUUCCAUGUCAAGUGGACCUGAAAUUCUUAGGUUGGCCUGGGCUUUCUAAUGAUACCAUGUUAAUGGACUCCCAAGAGAUUAGAUGCAAGAUACUAAAGACAUGAUUUUCCAAAUAAAACUAUGAAGCUGCAUCAAUCCUUCACAUGAAGUCACCGUUCCUCUUUUGAAUGUAU